AACGAACGCUGGCGGCAGGCCUAACACAUGCAAGUCGAACGCUGUAGCAAUACAGAGUGGCAGACGGGUGAGUAACACGUGGGAAUCUUCCUAUCGGUACGGAAUAGCUCAGGGAAACUUGGGGUAAUACCGCAUACGCCCUUCGGGGGAAAGAUUUAUCGCCGAUAGAUGAGCCCGCGUCUGAUUAGCUAGUUGGUGAGGUAAUGGCUCACCAAGGCGACGAUCAGUAGCUGGUCUGAGAGGAUGACCAGCCACACUGGGACUGAGACACGGCCCAGACUCCUACGGGAGGCAGCAGUGGGGAAUAUUGGACAAUGGGCGCAAGCCUGAUCCAGCCAUGCCGCGUGAGUGACGAAGGUCUUCGGAUUGUAAAGCUCUUUUGCCAGGGACGAUAAUGACGGUACCUGGAGAAUAAGCCCCGGCUAACUUCG
rnacentral:rRNA from 1 species